GACGAACGCUGGCGGCGUGCUUAACACAUGCAAGUCGAACGGAAAGGCCCUGCUUUUGUGGGGUGCUCGAGUGGCGAACGGGUGAGUAACACGUGAGUAACCUGCCCUUGACUUUGGGAUAACUUCAGGAAACUGGGGCUAAUACCGGAUAGGAGCUCCUGCUGCAUGGUGGGGGUUGGAAAGCUUCGGCGGUUGGGGAUGGACUCGCGGCUUAUCAGCUUGUUGGUGGGGGAGUGGCUGACCAAGGCUUUGAUGGAUAGCCCGCCUGAGAGGGUGGCCAGGCACAUGGGGCCUGAGGGAGGGAGCAGUCUGGUAUGGGGGACAGCAGGGGAGAAUAUUACACAGUAGGGGGAAGCCUGAGGCAGCGGCGCCGCGGGCGGGAUGACGGCCUUCGGGUUGUGAACCGCUUUCGCCUGUGACGAAGCGUGGGUGACGGUAAUGGGUGAAGAAGCACCGGCUAACUACGUG
rnacentral:rRNA from 1 species